GACGAACGCUGGCGGCGUGCUUAACACAUGCAAGUCGAACGGAAAGGCCCUGCUUUUGUGGGGUGCUCGAGUGGCGAACGGGUGAGUAACACGUGAGUAACCUGCCCUUGACUUUGGGAUAACUUCAGGAAACUGGGGCUAAUACCGGAUAGGAGCUCCUGCUGCAUGGUGGGGGUUGGAAAGUUUCGGCGGUUGGGGAUGGACUCGCGGCUUAUCAGCUUGUUGGUGGGGUAGUGGCUUACCAAGGCUUUGACGGGUAGCCGGCCUGAGAGGGUGACCGGCCACAUUGGGACUUAGAUACGGCCCAGACUCCUACGGGAGGCAGCAGUGGGGAAUAUUGCACAACGGGCGGAAGCCUGAUGCAGCAACGCCGCGUGCGGGAUGACGGCCUUCGGGGUGUAAACCGCUUUCGCCUGUGACGAAGCGUGAGUGACGGUAAUGGGUAAAGAAGCACCGGCUAACUACGUG
rnacentral:rRNA from 1 species